rnacentral:misc_RNA from 1 species
UCUCCGUAGGUGAACCUGCGGAGGGAUCAUUACAGAGUUCAUGCCCUACCGGGUAGAUCUCCCACCCUAUGUUAUUAUUACUUUGUUGCUUUUGCGGGCCGUUAGGCUCCGGCCCGACUACCGGCCCCGGCUGGUAAGCGCCCGCCAGAGGACCCAAAACCCUGAAUAUUAGUGUCGUCUGAGUACUAUAUAAUAGUUAAAACUUUCAACAACGGAUCUCUUGGUUCUG